rnacentral:lncRNA from 1 species
CUCAGAAGAGAAAGAGCUGAAAUGAAACCAAGAGCUUUGCCUGCUCUGAGCUUCUGUAGAAAAGAUUGAAGCGGGGGACCGGCACUUUCCAGCAAGGGCUGCGUGUAGCGCCCAUCGCCUCACGGGCCGCUCCCGGCCCUGCUGCCGCUCCCUCACAGAGCUGUGCCCACACGGCCCGCUGCCGCGGCCCGGCCGGCCGAGGAGCUGCCCCUGAGGGCAGGGGAAGGGAGGUGUCCUGCUCACCCUGCACCCCUGGGAAAGGGGUGCCAGCAGCCAGAGGCUCAGGAGGACCAGGUGAGGAGCAGCCCAUCGAGGAGAGUCAAGUGGUGGGGCCGGCUCUGUGCAGCCACAGAGCCCUCUUGUGUUGUCUGCUGGGUUGCAGACCAGCCAGAAGAGCAGCCGGUUCCUUUCACGAGACCAAGCAAGGCAACCUUCCUUUGGACCCAUCUCCGUUCAGUGCUGUCUCCCUUUGAGGGAAGCCACCUCAGGCACCGGGACUUUGUGCAGUGGAGACUAAUGAGUAAGAAAAUACCCUAAGGACAUUGGAUCUCAGCACUGAAUCCAAGCCUUUAGAAACAGGAUGCAUAAGGCAAACAAUGCUGCCAAGGUCACGUGCCACGUACUUCUGUUGCCUUCAUCCUUGGAGGAAGCCCUGGGGCCAACAGGAAGAUCCAUGCUCCUGUGACAUUUCAGGGACUCACCAGGAGAAGGAGAGCUAGUGUACUUGCUCUUGGUCUUGCCCAGGUGGACGAGGGCCUCUCAGUCUGCUGUGUCCACAGCUGAACAAAUGCAGUUCCUACACAGGAUUGUGGAUUAUAUCCUUUCUCUUCUGUGCAGCAUCUCUUUCAGCAGAGUUGAAGAUUUCAUCAAAACCGGCCUUUCACCCCUUGAGGAGAGGUUUGGGUUAGCAGCAGUCUCUUCCCCUCUUAUAAUGGCAGGUGCCACUGCUGCCUUAUGGCUUCACUUCAUGGCUUGGAGUGACUUCAGAUAUGACUUCUCCAGAGGGUCCUCCCUGAACUCAAGUUACUGGAGUUUGAGAGGCCUGACAGUGCAGCUAAAUGUGGUUGAGGGAAGAACCAUUUCUUGUUUUGGCUAUGGUCUUUGCAACAACUUUCAGUUACCUGGAGAGGGGCGGAGAAGAGAAAGGUGUUUUUAAAGAUCUCAGCGGCCCGAAGAGGAAAAAUGUGCAAAAUUUCAUUAACUUGAAAGGCAGCAAGACACAGUCCCCCAGGCCAAGCUGCAAAUCUGCAAAUCAUGGUGUAAG